rnacentral:rRNA from 1 species
UACAGAGGGUGCGAGCGUUAAUCGGAGUAACUGGGCGUAAAGGGCGCGUAGGCGGUAAGAUAAGCUAGUUGGGAAAGAAUUGGGCUUAACCUAGUAAAGCAACUAGGACUGUAUUACUAGAGAUAGAGAGAGGUGAGAAGAAUUUCCGGAGUAGCGGUGAAAUGCGUAGAUACCGGAAAGAAUACCAGAAGCGAAGGCGACUCACUGGCUUUAGACUGACGCUGAGGCGCGAAAGCGUGGGGAGCAAACAGG